GCUGGGCAGUCCCAGCUAUUCAGGAGGCUGAGGUGGGGGGAUCCAUGGGGCCCAGGGGUGCGCUAUGAUGAUCAGGUGUCUGAACAAAUUUUAGCAUCAAAUGGUGAUCUCUCUAAGCGGAGGACCACCAGGUUGCUUAAGGAGGAGCGAACUAGCCCAGCUCCCACAUGAAGCAGGUGAAGGCUCCCGAGCUGAUCAGCAGUGGGACUGUGCCUGCAGCCACUGCGCUCCAGCCUGGGCAACACAGUGAGAACUUGCCUCUU
rfam:Papio anubis isolate 1X1155 chromosome 15, whole genome shotgun sequence.